rnacentral:sRNA from 1 species
GCCAGGUGUGAUGGUGUACACCUGUAAUCCCAGCAGCUCAGGAGGCUGAGGCAGAAGGAUAGCGAGUUCAAAGCCAGCCUCAGCAACAGCGAGGCACUAAGCAACUCAGUGAGAUUCUGUCUCUA